UACGAAGGGGGGCUAGCGUUGUUCGGAAUCACUGGGCGUAAAGCGCACGUAGGUGGACUUUCAAGUCAGGGGUGAAAUCCCGGGGGCUCAACCUCGGAACUGCCUUUGAUACUGUUGGUCUUGAGUCCGGAAGAGGUGAGUGGAAUUCCUAGUGUAGAGGUGAAAUUCGUAGAUAUUAGGAAGAACACCGGUGGCGAAGGCGGCUCACUGGUCCGGUACUGACACUGAGGUGCGAAAGCGUGGGGAGCAAACAGG
rnacentral:rRNA from 1 species